rnacentral:tRNA from 1 species
GGGGAAGUGGCGGAAUUGGCAGACGCGCAUGACUUAGGAUCAUGUGCCUCCGGGCGUGUGGGUUCGAGUCCCACCUUCCCCA